GCUAGGUGUGGUGGCGCAUGCCUGUGGUCCCAGCUACUUGGGAGGCUGAGGUGGGAGGAUCACUUGAGCCCAGGAGGUGGAGGUUGCAGUGAGUCAAGAUUGCACCACUGCACUCCAGCCUGGGCGACAGAGCAAGACCCCAUCUCAA
rfam:Gorilla gorilla gorilla genomic chromosome, chr3, whole genome shotgun sequence